rnacentral:pre_miRNA from 1 species
UCUUAUGCACGAGCAAAGGAAGUGGUUUCUUGACAUGGAAACUACUCCUUGUGAAGAAGCUGUGAA